GAGGCGCCGCCCUCCGGGGAAGAGAGCCGGGAAAGUCUUUGGCGGCCCGGAAGCCCCUUCGCUCCGCCUUGGAGGCCUCUCUGCGCCCCAGGCCGGGAGCCCUCUGCGCGGGGCGGGGCAGCGCCACCUCGGGAGUCCCCCUUCCCGGGCAUCUGGACGGGGUGCCUCGGGGGUGGGAUUGCAGCCCCGUGGCUCCAGCAGGCGGGCGGGCAGAGGGUGCUGAAGGACGCGCAGCGCCAGCCCCUCUUUUCGUUGUUAAAAAGUGUGGCGCUCGCCCUGGCCACUUAGUGGUGAGUACCGACACCUAUGAUUUAUCCAGGGGGAAAAGCACUGGUGAGGAUGAAGCCAAGUGAUAGAUAUGUUUUGGCAAAAAGCAGAUCUAGACUUUUGUAACAGAGCUCUGCUGGUAGGUAAGUGGAUGUUCUGCCUCCCUCGGUUUGAUUCAGAGGUUUCCUGUGGCAGAGGCAUGAGAAUCCAACAUUAAAGUAACCUGGAAGACUGCAGAAAUAAUUCUAAGUCGGAUAAUGCGAAACCAGUUUUUAACUAAACAGAAAAGACAAAAGAAAACAACAUCUAGAGUUCAAUUAGUAUAAAAUCAAGGUCUGAAAUCAAACAGCCAUAUGUGAAAAAGUGUUAAAACAGAACAUGCCCCAUUAUAUAAUCAAGUGGUAUACAAAUUUUAUUUUAUUUUCUCCAAAGAAUUAUUCCAAACAACAAUAAUUCAUCCCCACUUUGCCAUUUAUGCAUCCAGAUUGUCUCCCACUUCUCUGACCCAUAUCCAUCCUGCCAUGCAAACUUAAAUUUGAGCCCUAGAACAGGAGGGAAAUGUACAAGCUGAGCAUGUGAAUGCAAAACUAGCCAAUUUGCAUCAGUAAUAUUGAUCUGCAUGACUUCUUUUGAGGCCACGGUGUUAAUACUGUAAGCUUAAUGUACGUAAAAUAUUGCAGUUGUAUUUGGAAUACUGUAAAGAGAAGUUUACCUUAAGCAAGAGGCUCCAUGCUAGGUGAAAGCGGAAGGCUGGUGUUUUUUCUAUUUCAGUGAGCUAAACUACCUGAUGACACAUCGCUGCAGUUCUCACAUAUAAGAGAGGAAACCUGAGAAGUCAGAGAUGGCCAGUAGUAGCAGCAGCCGAGAAGCUCUGCAAUGAUGAACAUUGCAUCUCUGGCAUCAGAGAGAGGAAAGUUUACUGAAGUGCAUAAAGGACUGAAUCACAUUACAUGGUUGUAGUGUUACUUUAUUACUUUAGUUACAUAUAAACAUUACAUGAACAGUUGUAAGAUUAUUCUGCAGUAAAGCUUUGAAACUAA